ensembl:lncRNA LINC02180 long intergenic non-protein coding RNA 2180
UGAAGGUCUUGAACACUGCUGGAAGCCUACUAGAUAUUUAAUGUAAUCACCAUGAUAAUGGCUAAGAUUUAUUAAGCAUCUGCUAUGUGCUUUAUGGUGCUAAGAACUUCUCAUGUAUUUACUCAUUGAAUCUUCACAAAAACCUUAUGAACAUCAGAGCUGAUGAAUACUCAGUCAGAAGAAAUGCAGGCCUGCAGGUUUGUCCACAAAGUGUUCCCAUCAACCGACGGCUCUCUCAAAUGUUACUGUCUAUAUGAAUCCACCUUGGGAUAUUAGUAAAAUGAGUUUCUGAUACAGAAGAUCUAGAAAGCGCCUGAAAUGCUGAUAUUCUGUCUCCCAGGUGGAGGAGUUCAGCUAUUACCUUGACUUUGCCGAAGUCCUAGGCACUCCCAUGCCCUCAGAGUCUCAUUUUGAAUCCAGGCACUUAGGGAUGCUAUUUUUCCACAUCAAACAGCUUCCUCCCAGCCAAAGAAUUCUGGUGACAGUAGUGAAGAUAAUUUUCACUCCUGCUUACAGAAUGACAAAGCAAAAGCAAAGAGGAGAAGAAUGAAGUAAAGACAACCAAAGGAAAAGACUGAUGGCUCCUUAAGAAUGAUCUUGAUAAAGGAAUGGUGGCUGAGGGGUCCAUCUCCUAAACCACCCACCUUACUGACUCCCUAGAGCAAUGCCAUACAGAAAGCUGCACCUUGAGGGGAAGACACAAGAAUCCUGGAGUGGAAAAAAAUUGGGUAAUGAUGACAGCCUUCGAGGUCUUGAGAGUAAAGCAGAAGCAAAAAAAAAGUGUUAUUUUUAUCUUUUGAAGAUGGUUCCCUCUUAAGACUUUUGCGAAUGAUUAAGAUUUCAAUUAUGUUCCAGGAAAAAAAUAAGAUUUUUGCUUGACAAAAAAAAUUUUUGUCUAGAACAGGUGGGAAGGAAGAGAUAGUUUAGCCACAUCCAAGAGACCUGUAAAUUGGGUACAGUGAAGUGAAUGGUGUACCAGUCAUAAAAGAAUGUUAACUGGAGAAGUCUCUGCUGUCUUCCUGUAACUGAGGGGGGUGUAACCAUCCUUGUGGAAGCGUCCACUUUUAUUGAAGAUUGGCUAAAUAAAUCUGUGCCUACUGAAACUC